AAAGAACGGCAAACUGUUUAAGAACACAGAGGGCAACUCAGAGGUGAGGUCACGUCGAGCACAGACGACUUUCCUGCCAUUCUGCUAACAAUGCAUUUGCUCAGUGCCUGGAACACAGCGAGUGACUGUUGAUGUCGGUGUCAAACAUCUCGUCAGACACUGUUUGCAGCCACUCAGGAGGCAGCGCUCGAGGGAUUCUACCAUUUCAGAAGCAUUCGCUAUUGUCAACACCACUAAAUGAUCUGGAGAGCAACCUUACAACGUUUCCUGUAUUGCUGCCACUUUACAUUUGGGCCACACGUUUGGAGCGUCUCUUCCGAGGAAGUGUUGGGGAUGUCUCCAUUUCUGCUCCGAUGCGGUCCCGGGUUUUGCCCCACCAACUAGUCUUCAGGCUCAUCAAACACCAGUGGGCUCCAGACUAAGCGGUUUUGGUCGUUCAGUAGAAGCAUUAUACUUUGAGCAACAAGAUUCCAUUGACUUAGAUGUCUCUUAGAUGUUUUGUAAUUGCAUUUCUAUUGGACUUUAUAAAAAUGCCGAUUUCUAUCCAUUUUUAAUUUUAUCUUUUCUUGUUGCGACUAAUUUUUGCUGACUCACCACAUGCAAAAAGCGCGCUUCGUUCUUACUGUUUUUGGCUUACUCAUCUCCUUAGAGGAAAGGACGCUAGCUCAUGGUUUUAGGUUUAUACCAUUUACCAGAUUAAGGAGAGACCCAUUCCUGUUUUCUAGUGUUUUUAGUAAAAAUGGGUGAUAUAUUUUGCAAAACUUUUUCUGCAUUAACAUGCUUUUGUUACUAAUAUGGUUAAUUAUGUCCGUACUUAUUUUAAUAUUAACCCAGGGCAGCUAGAUGGCUCAGUUGAGAGUCAGGCCAGAAGUGACCUGGGUUCAAAUCUGACCUCAAACACUUCUUGGCCGUGUGACCCUAGACAAGUCACUUCACCCCAAUUACCUAGUCCUUUUCUGCCUUGGAAUUGAUGCAAUUCUAAGACAGAAGGUAAAAACUAAAAAUACAACAUGACAAACACCCUACAUUCUGGGUAAAUACCCUUUCUGAUGAGUGUAGACUUUGUAUGAUAUCAGGCAACUAACUAGGUGGCUCUCGCACUCCAGGCUUGGAGUGUGGAAGAGGAAUUCAAAUCGAGCCUUACAGACACUAACAGGUCUUGGGCACAUCGCGUUUGCCUCAAUUUCCUCAUGCAGAGUGACAAAGGCUUCUAGUUCCUAAGGUAGCUGAGGAUCAGAUAGCAUUUGUAACCCACUUAGGACAGCGCCUGGCACACGGACUUCAUAGAAAUGUUGGCUAGUGUGCUGUUUUCGCCCCUUUGCUAAUAUUUAAUCUAAUAUUUUGGCAUCAGUGUCCAUUUGAGAUAACUGGUCUGCAUGAGAGGUACUGCUCAGAAAUGUUUCUGCACUGUCUGGGGAUCUUAUUCCUAUUUCCUCCAUCACUUUGUAAGAGAGGAAUCAUUUGUGCCAGUCUAGCAGAUAGUGGCAAGCCUGGAGUUCGUUACACUCCUCUUCCCAAGUUCAAAUCUGGUCUCAGAUACGUAACAAGUCGUGUGUCCCUGAGGGAGUCAUUGAACUGCUCACCCGUUUCCUCAUCUGUAGAACAUGUUGGAGAGAAGAAAACGGCAGACUAUUCCAGCAUCUUUGCCAAGAAAACCCUACAUUAAAAAUAUUUUUUAAAAUUCCUCUAGUAUUUCUUUUUUUGGGAUUAAGACCAAUCCAUAUUUUUCUUUGAGGCUUUGGAUGCAGCAGUAUUAAUUUUGUCUUCUUAGUUUGCAUUUUAGAAUUUCUUGUCACCAAAAUAACUUUCCAUGUCAAGUUUCUUUUUUUUUUUGUUUACUUAUUUUCCAGCUUUUUGGCCUCCCAAACCCUAUCAUAGAUGGCCUCCUCUCCAUUCCUUUGGUGAAAGGGGCAUUAUUCCAAGCUUCAGAUUAUUUGCACAGUUGCAUUCAGAGCUAGCUUUGAGAACCAAUAAAUAUUCACUUCUUUCAAGGGAGUAUGAUUUA
ensembl:lncRNA